UACGGAGGAUCCAAGCGUUAUCCGGAAUCAUUGGGUUUAAAGGGUCCGUAGGCGGCCCUGUAAGUCAGUGGUGAAAUCUCACGGCUCAACCGUGAAAUUGCCAUUGAUACUGCAGGGCUUGAAUUUCCAGGAAGUAACUAGAAUAUGUAGUGUAGCGGUGAAAUGCUUAGAGAUUACAUGGAAUACCGAUUGCGAAGGCAGGUUACUACUGGUGGAUUGACGUGAUGGACGAAA
rnacentral:rRNA from 1 species